rnacentral:misc_RNA from 1 species
GAUGAAGAACGUAGCGAAAUGCGAUAAGUAAUGUGAAUUGCAGAAUUCAGUGAAUCAUCGAAUCUUUGAACGCACAUUGCGCCCGCCAGUAUUCUGGCGGGCAUGCCUGUUCGAGCGUCAUUACAACCAUCAAGCCCCCGGCUUGUGUUGGGGACCUGCGGCUGCCGCAGGCCCUGAAAACCAGUGGCGGGCUCGCUGUCACACCGAGCGUAGUAGAUUUUCAUCUCGCUCAGGGCGUGCUGCGGGUUCCGGCCGUAAAAAGCCUUAUUUACCCAAGGUUGACCUCGGAUCAGGUAGGAAGACCCGCUGAACUUAAGCAUAUCAAUAAGCGGAGGA